rnacentral:rRNA from 1 species
AGCCGCCGCGGUAACACCGGCGGCCCGAGUGGUGAUCGUGAUUAUUGGGUCUAAAGGGUCCGUAGCCGGUUUGGUCAGUCCUCCGGGAAAUCUGAUAGCUCAACUAUUAGGCUUUCGGGGGAUACUGCCAGACUUGGAACCGGGAGAGGUAAGAGGUACUACAGGGGUAGGAGUGAAAUCUUGUAAUCCCUGUGGGACCACCUGUGGCGAAGGCGUCUUACCAGAACGGGUUCGACGGUGAGGGACGAAAGCUGGGGGCACGAACCGGAUUAGAUACCCGGGUAGUCCCAGCCGUAAACGAUGCUCGCUAGGUGUCAGGCAUGGCGCGACCGUGUCUGGUGCCGCAGGGAAGCCGUGAAGCGAGCCACCUGGGAAGUACGGCCGCAAGGCUGAAACUUAAAGGAAUUGGCGGGGGAGCACAACAACGGGUGGAAGCCUGCGGUUUAAUUGGACUCAACGCCGGACAACUCACCGGGGGCGACAGCAAUAUGUAGGCCAAGCUGAAGACUUUGCCUGAAUCGCUGAGAAGAGGUGCAUGG